UGGGGAAUUUUGGACAAUGGGGGAAACCCUGAUCCAGCCAUCCCGCGUGUGCGAUGAAGGCCUUCGGGUUGUAAAGCACUUUUGGCAGGAAAGAAACGUCGCGGGUUAAUACCCCGCGAAACUGACGGUACCUGCAGAAUAAGCACCGGCUAACUACGUGCCAGCAGCCGCGGUAAUACGUAGGGUGCAAGCGUUAAUCGGAAUUACUGGGCGUAAAGCGUGCGCAGGCGGUUCGGAAAGAAAGAUGUGAAAUCCCAGAGCUUAACUUUGGAACUGCAUUUUUAACUACCGGGCUAGAGUGUGUCAGAGGGAGGUGGAAUUCCGCGUGUAGCAGUGAAAUGCGUAGAUAUGCGGAGGAACACCGAUGGCGAAGGCAGCCUCCUGGGAUAACACUGACGCUCAUGCACGAAAGCGUGGGGAGCAAACAGGAUUAGAUACCCUGGUAGUCCACGCCCUAAACGAUGUCAACUAGCUGUUGGGGCCUUCGGGCCUUGGUAGCGCAGCUAACGCGUGAAGUUGACCGCCUGGGGAGUACGGUCGCAAGAUUAAAAACUUAAAGG
rnacentral:rRNA from 1 species